AGUGAACGCUGGCGGUAUGCCUAACACAUGCAAGUCGAACGGCAGCACAGUAAGAGCUUGCUCUUACGGGUGGCGAGUGGCGGACGGGUGAGGAAUACAUCGGAAUCUACUUUUUCGUGGGGGAUAACGUAGGGAAACUUACGCUAAUACCGCAUACGACCUACGGGUGAAAGCAGGGGAUCUUCGGACCUUGCGCGAUUGAAUGAGCCGAUGUCGGAUUAGCUAGUUGGCGGGGUAAAGGCCCACCAAGGCGACGAUCCGUAGCUGGUCUGAGAGGAUGAUCAGCCACACUGGAACUGGGACACGGUCCAGACUCCUACGGGAGGCAGCAGUGGGGAAUAGUGGACAAUGGGCGCAAGCCUGAUCCAGCCAUACCGGGUGGGUGAAGAAGGCCUUCGGGUUGUAAAGCCCUUUUGUUGGGAAAGAAAAGCAGCAGGUUAAUACCCCACUGUUCUGACGGUACCCAAAGAAUAAGCACCGGCUAACUUCGUG
rnacentral:rRNA from 1 species